rnacentral:rRNA from 1 species
GACGAACGCUGGCGGCGUGCUUGACACAUGCAAGUCGAACGGACAGGCCCUGCUUUUGUGGGGUGCUCGAAUGGCGAACGGGUGAGUAACACGUGAGUAACCUGCCCUUGACUUUGGGAUAACUUCAGGAAACUGGGGCUAAUACCGGAUAGGAGCUCCUGCUGCAUGGUGGGGGUUGGAAAGUUUCGGCGGUUGGGGAUGGACUCGCGGCUUAUCAGCUUGUUGGUGGGGUAGUGGCUUACCAAGGCUUUGACGGGUAGCCGGCCUGAGAGGGUGACCGGCCACAUUGGGACUGAGAUACGGCCCAGACUCCUACGGGAGGCAGCAGUGGGGAAUAUUGCACAAUGGGCGGAAGCCUGAUGCAGCAACGCCGCGUGCGGGAUGCCGGCCUUCGGGUUGUAAACCGCUUUCGCCUGUGACGCAGCGUGAGUGACGGUAAUGGGUAAAGAAGCACCGGCUAACUACGUG